rnacentral:rRNA from 1 species
UACGGGGGAGCAAGCGUUGUUCGGAUUCAUUGGGCGUAAAGGGUGCGUAGGUGGCGCUGUAAGUCGGGUGUGAAAUUUCGGAGCUUAACUCCGAAACUGCAUUCGAUACUGCGGUGCUUGAGGACUGGAGAGGAGACUGGAAUUCAUGGUGUAGCAGUGAAAUGCGUAGAGAUCAUGAGGAAGACCAGUGGCGAAGGCGGGUCUCUGGACAGUUCCUGACACUGAGGCACGAAGGCCAGGGGAGCAAACGGG